UCUUUUUAUUCUUUUUUAGUAAUAGGAGAGAGACAAAGAGGAGGAGAAGGGGGCGGUGGCGGUGGCGGUGGCGGGCGGUCGGUAGAGGCCGUUCGGCGGCGAGACAUGACAUGACAUGACAUGACAUGUUUCUCCCUCCAACUCACCUCGCCUACCCCUAUGUAUAUGUCUCCCGCGAGCAGAGGCCGGUCGGUCGCGACGAUACGGGGAGACCUACCGGUAGCAGAGACUCGUCGUCGUCGUCGUCGUCCUGACGAAGACGAAGAAGGAGGGGUACCCGUCCCCGUCCCCGUCCCCGUCCCCGUCCCCAUCCUUGGUGGUUCGGGUUGCGGUAGUAGUAGGGGCAGGAGCGGUUCCUAAAGUGUUCCGCCGCCGCGUGGCCGUGUAGUUAAAGGGGAGAGGUGCGCGACGGAGAAAGGUUCCUCCUCCUCCUCCUCCUCCUCCUCCUGUUACGAGAGAACAAGUCGUCGUCGCCGUGACAGCCGUAGCUGGAGUAAGAAGAUCGGGACGGACGUCAGAAUCCGGUCCGGUAGCUGGGGUACCGCGUUGAGUACCUCUGGCGGAUGUAGCCGUUUAAUCCACGAGACCUCGAUCGUAGCCGACCGUAACCACAGCGAUAAAAAUUGUAGGACAGGUUCUAAAAGUUGUAGGGGAACAACUCGUAUCGUUGGAGUAAACACCGUCUCCUGUAAAGGUUCUUGCGAUGGUUCGUAAGAUGAAGUCCGUUUGACGUCGACGGUAGGCACAGCAGCCGAAACCAAAAUCGACGACGCUAACCAUGUUAGCUUCGUAACCGUAACAAGGAUCCUAGUCCUGACAAAGAAUUUGAUUACCCGCACAGUGGACGGAGAGGCUACAUACGAAGACGCGCCGAGAAAGAAAGCGACUCUCGGAAUCCUCGUGGACGUUUACACUAAUACAAUCGUCACGUCCCAUAGAAAGCACCUAAGUUCCUAUGUUUCUGAGGGCAUGAAAAAUAUCCAAACCCGUUAGAAAGUCGGCACCGGGAAGAAGGCGAUGAAUAUAUACCAAAAUUCGAACCAUAUUGUCCUCGGCGUUAAAGCUGUCAGCGUAGGGUCAUGUAAUAACGGUAAAACGAAUACACCAGAGAUUCAUUUUCUCGACAAGACGAAGGAGGUUUCUACCUGGUCAAUCUCAAGCCACCUAUAAAUUUUAGACCACCGUACGAUAACCCUGCUUGGGAGAGUUAAGACAAUUGAUACUGGUAGCCAUGUAGCUACCGACGAGCUGUUCCGGGUUGUCGAUACCGACGAGUAGUCUAAACAAACGUUCAUACCGAACGACAUAGAGACGAACGUCUGCGGAAUCGUCAAAGACGGGUCCGAGACUAUCGUUCGAGAAUACGUUAUAACCUGAUGUUUUCCCAGGUCUUCCAACGCUACAUAAGAGACGUCUAUCCUGAUCGAUCGCCCAAUCGAAACCGUCAACCGGACAUAUAGAGUAAACCAUCAUAUCGUUUCGAUAAAUGGUUACUGGGAGUCCAGGAUCGCCAACACUCGAGGACACGUAACAAACAGACACGGUCAGUUGGUCAAUUACGGAACCGUAAGUAGAAACUACCGGAGGUAAUACCGCAGAGUCUAAAACUGAUACAGCGAGUUCGAUGCUAACACCAACCCCACUAUAGUAGCAACCAGAACAAUAUACGAGGUGCACAGAAACCGGACCGGCCUCAGACCCGACCAAACUGUUGUGAGUACCCUAACGCGUACCGACGUCCGUAGGACUCCAACGAUACCUUUAGUCCUGGAACCAGGAAAAACGUGCUCCUUGGUCUUUGGUUCAACGUCCGCGUCGGUGAACGUAGUAUUCUUAAGUACAGCUCGGUCGCGUCCCUCUCGACGUACCCGUCUACGUCAACUCCUUACUUCUUCGUGUUCGAUUUGGUUGUUCGACGAUUCGAUUCUCCUAACAGUAAUCAAAACAGUGAAAACACGCACACACAUACAUUUAUUCUCCUCCUCCUAAUAAAGUAAACUACAACGGUCGUACGUACGUCAAAUAAGUAAAUAAACAAACAAGAUUAAUACUCGUACGUAAAGAUUACUAUACCUUUCAUACCUUCUUUACACUCAACAUCAUAGGGCCCA
rnacentral:rRNA from 1 species